rnacentral:rRNA from 1 species
CAGUCGCCACGGUAAUACGGAGGGAGCUAGCGUUGUUCGGAAUCACUGGGCGUAAAGCGCACGUAGGCGGCUAUUCAAGUCAGGGGUGAAAGCCCGGGGCUCAACCCCGGAACUGCCUUUGAAACUAGAUAGCUUGAAUCUUGGAGAGGCGAGUGGAAUUCCGAGUGUAGAGGUGAAAUUCGUAGAUAUUCGGAAGAACACCAGUGGCGAAGGCGACUCGCUGGACAAGUAUUGACACUGAGGUGCGAAAGCGUGGGGAGCAAACAGGAUUAGAUACCCCGGUAGUCCCUGUCUCUUAUAC